rnacentral:misc_RNA from 1 species
GGCAAACUUAUAUUUAAUCUCAAAUAUUUAUCUCCAUAUUGUAGUAGUACAAACUUAAUAGAAUGGAACUACAUGAGACAUCUAACAAGCACGGAUGAAAACUUCGGUGACUGGAAACAGCUGAGUUGUAUGUGCUACAAUAACCAUGUUAAUAUGGACAAAAGAACAGGCAAAAACCAAGACAAUGAAUUUUCAUUCAAUAUCCAUGACACAGGUUUUGCCAUCCAAAUUUGCUAACUGGGUCAAGUGUUACAUGCUUAUAUAGCUUCUUGCUUGAUAUUAACAGUAAUGGGGGGCUUCACCUUCUGUAUCUUGUAAUUGCCACUGGCCAAAAUGGUUUCUUAAUGUAAAUUUUGCUAAAAAAUGUAAUGGAACUUGAGGUUCUAUAAAACAUAAUUGUUCUGAUUUUGUAUUGUAUCUUGGCUGCUCUAUACAAGGCUACCAAAAAGAUGGAAAUCCCUCGUGCAUUUCUCACAUCAUUCUUCCGAUGCUCAUUUCCAUAUAAUGUCCCCCAAAAAUCUAAGAGCUGGAACACCUCUGAUCUCUACAUCAACUAGCGGUGCUUUUAUCAAUGUCAAACUGGAGAGUUCUGGAUCACUUUGUAUCAUAUCAAGAGCACGCAUCUGAUCCUUUCUUUUCAUUGCACAAAACUUGCAGUCAGAGGCAGAUGGAGGAAGAAUUUGAUUAACUAUAAGUCUCUUAACAGGAACAUUCUCCUUUUGCAAGGAGGCACGCAACCUAGACGACUCACUGACUGCCAUUACCGUGGGAAUUGUAACUAUGACAAACUCUGUGGAGUCAGUAUCACGAAAAAGCUCACGCACUUUUAUCAUCCUCUCCCUCAAUCGUUCCAAUUUGUCAGCAGCAUCCUGUCGGUUUUCUUCCUGUCCAAAAACAGAUUUGAUGGCAGAUGUGGCAGAAGCUAUUUUUUGUUUAAGCUUCAAUAUCUUGCCUAUGGAUGCAUCCAGGAAGUCUGGCAAGGACAAAAGUCGUAAUGUAUGGCCCGUGGGUGCAGUAUCAAAAACUAUUCGAGUAAACAUGCUAUAUUCUUGAGAUUCUAGGAAUUGCAUCACUUUUGAAAUUGCUAUAGCUUCAUCCAAACCAGGAGGAGGUGUGUCCAGUAGCUCUCCCAAUUUCAACUCUCCCAGCUGUUCAACAAGCAUUCCAAGGCCCAUGCCUUCCAUAAAAUCUUUGACCCCAGUUCCUCCAUCUUUCCGAGUUGCUGUACGAAAUUCUUCCCUAGCCUUUUCAGGGUUUAUCUCAAGUGCAUACAGUGGGUAAUCAGGUCCUUCAACAGGUACUAACGUCCCUCCAGUUAAAUUCUAAAGGAGAAACAUACAGAUAAGCAUAGUCAUUGCUAUAUGACAAGCUGCAGUUUUUAACUGUAAAAUAAUCCAUUGUUUAAUUAAACCUGAGCAAAAGAAUCACUCAAAGAAUGUGCUGGGUCAGUUGAAACCACUAAAGUGGGAUGCCCAUUGUUUGCAAAUUUUACUGCAAGUGAAGCAGCACAACUGGUCUUUCCUACUCCUCCUUUUCCGCCAAGCAUGUAAUACUUCCGUUGCAUCCCGGAAACCAUAUCAUCAAAUCCAGCGACAUCUUCUGCUGGAGCAGCCACUGAUCUCACUCGAAGUGAACUCCUGGGAAGCUUUUGCUCGACGGAGAGAGAGAUAAAACUUGCAGUGAGAGAGGAAGGAGUGUGAGGUUUGGGUGCAAAAGAAAGCAAUCCCACUGCUGCCAUGGCGUUUCUUGAAGUGAAUGACUUAUGAAAAGAAAGUGAAGAAGAGGAAGGAACUACACAGAAGGAAGCGGUAGCUGUUGCCAUUUUGAUCCUUCUUCGCUUCCUUCUUCUGGUACUGAACAGAAGCCAGUUUUUUU